rnacentral:rRNA from 1 species
CCUACGGGAGGCAGCAGUCGAGAAUUUUUCACAAUGGACGAAAGUCUGAUGGAGCGACGCCGCGUGGAGGAUGAAGGUUUUCGGAUUGUAAACUCCUGUCACUGCAGAACAAGGAUGUGUCAGUUAAUAGCCGACACAUUUGAUGGUAUGCGGAGAGGAAGGGACGGCUAACUCUGUGCCAGCAGCCGCGGUAAU